rnacentral:lncRNA from 1 species
GAAAACUCGAAUUCCAGGACUUACGAGAUUUUUAGGGUCCUUUAGUAUACCGGUUUUGGAUUGCUGUUUUUGACUCUGUUCCACUUCGAACUAGUCAAAGUGUCUUUAACAAAAGUUGUUGGAAUUUAAAAGUUUUACAACUCUUAUUUGGGCAGAAACUUAAGUUUGCAUAUAAAAUUUCAAGCUUUAUUCCAAACUCCAAAAAGAGCUUCUUAGGGUUAUGAAGGUCAUUUCACUUGUUUAAUCAUGGAUUUAUCACUGGUUUAUAGUUAAAAGUACUUAAUUUAGGUAGAGUUGUUACA